rnacentral:rRNA from 1 species
AUGCACGCUGGCGGCGUGCCUAAUACAUGCAAGUCGAGCGAACGGACGAGAAGCUUGCUUCUCUGAUGUUAGCGGCGGACGGGUGAGUAACACGUGGAUAACCUACCUAUAAGACUGGGAUAACUUCGGGAAACCGGAGCUAAUACCGGAUAAUAUUUUGAACCGCAUGGUUCAAAAGUGAAAGACGGUCUUGCUGUCACUUAUAGAUGGAUCCGCGCUGCAUUAGCUAGUUGGUAAGGUAACGGCUUACCAAGGCAACGAUGCAUAGCCGACCUGAGAGGGUGAUCGGCCACACUGGAACUGAGACACGGUCCAGACUCCUACGGGAGGCAGCAGUAGGGAAUCUUCCGCAAAGGGCGAAAGCCUGACGGAGCAACGCCGCGUGAGUGAUGAAGGUCUUCGGAUCGUAAAACUCUGUUAUUAGGGAAGAACAUAUGUGUAAGUAACUGUGCACAUCUUGACGGUACCUAAUCAGAAAGCCACGGCUAACUACGUG